GUCUAUGUAUAAGCCUUUAUACGAUGAAACUGCGAAUGGCUCAUUAAAACAGUUAUAGUUUAUUUAAUGGUCUCUUUUUACAUGGAUAACCAUGACAAUUCUAUGGCUAGUACAUGCGCAAAGGUCACCUCCUUUGGAGGGGCUGUGUCUAUUAGAUACGAAACCAACUCACUUUCUUGUGGAGUCUUGGUGCUUCAUAGUAACUGAGCGUAUCGCAGCUGGUUCUUUUGGGCCCGCGAUGGUCUCGACCUCAGUGUUCUUCUCAUUUGCAAUCAAAGACUGCGAAAAACUUCAUGAUGACGAAACAUGCUUCUUCCGCGAAG
rfam:Eimeria tenella Houghton genomic scaffold, Eth_scaff16